rnacentral:rRNA from 1 species
UACGUAGGGGGCAAGCGUUGUCCGGAUUUAUUGGGCGUAAAGAGCGUGUAGGCGGCCAAGCAGGUCCGCUGUGAAAACUCGAGGCUCAACCUCGAGACGUCGGUGGAAACCGUUUGGCUAGAGUCCGGAAGAGGAGAGUGGAAUUCCCGGUGUAGCGGUGAAAUGCGCAGAUAUCGGGAAGAACACCCGUGGCGAAGGCGGCUCUCUGGGACGGUACUGACGCUGAGGCGCGAAGGCUGGGGUAGCGAACAGG